UACAGAGGGUGCAAGCGUUGUUCGGAAUUAUUGGGCGUAAAGCGCGUGUAGGCGGCAUGGCAAGUCGGGUGUGAAAGCCCUCAGCUUAACUGAGGAAGUGCGCCCGAAACUGCCGUGCUUGAGUGCCGGAGAGGGUGGCGGAAUUCCCCAAGUAGAGGUGAAAUUCGUAGAUAUGGGGAGGAACACCGGUGGCGAAGGCGGCCAUCUGGACGGAUACGUGGACGCUGAGACGCGAAAGCGUGGGUAGCAAACAGG
rnacentral:rRNA from 1 species